UUGAACGCUGGCGGCAGGCCUAACACAUGCAAGUCGAGCGGUAGCACAGAGAGCUUGCUCUCGGGUGACGAGCGGCGGACGGGUGAGUAAUGUCUGGGAAACUGCCUGAUGGAGGGGGAUAACUACUGGAAACGGUAGCUAAUACCGCAUAACGUCGCAAGACCAAAGUGGGGGACCUUCGGGCCUCAUGCCAUCAGAUGUGCCCAGAUGGGAUUAGCUGUAGGUGGGGUAACGGCUCACCUAGGCGACGAUCCCUAGCUGGUCUGAGAGGAUGACCAGCCACACUGGAACUGAGACACGGUCCAGACUCCUACGGGAGGCAGCAGUGGGGAAUAUUGCACAAUGGGCGCAAGCCUGAUGCAGCCAUGCCGCGUGUGUGAAGAAGGCCUUCGGGUUGUAAAGCACUUUCAGCGGGGAGGAAGGCGUAGGUUAAUAACCUCACGAUUGACGUUACCCGCAGAAGAAGCACCGGCUAACUCCGUGCCAGCAGCCGCGGUAAUACGGAGGGUGCAAGCGUUAAUCGGAAUUACUGGGCGUAAAGCGCACGCAGGCGGUCUGUCAAGUCGGAUGUGAAAUCCCCGGGCUCAACCUGGGAACUGCAUUCGAAACUGGCAGGCUAGAGUCUUGUAGAGGGGGGUAGAAUUCCAGGUGUAGCGGUGAAAUGCGUAGAGAUCUGGAGGAAUACCGGUGGCGAAGGCGGCCCCCUGA
rnacentral:rRNA from 1 species